CCCCUACAGUUCUGUGAUUCUGUGAUAACAUAAUAGGGGAAGAACAAGCACUGCAGUAAAAUACUGUGUAGCUCUCAUGGAAAUGUCUUCGUCUCUGGGUGUUUGGUAGGAGGCGUUUGAUAAGAGUUAAUUCUUGAUCAUAGUGAUUAUUGGCAAUGCACUAAGCAGUAACUGCAGCAGCUGGAGUAGCUUGCUGACCAAACUGAAGUCUCCUUGUGCAUUGGAGAAAUGCCCCAGGAAGGGGGAGAAGGCACAGUUGGUGGGUCAGACUGUUCAUCUUUUUUUGAUUUAUUAAAACCUGCCAUGAUUUCCAGUCGUCUUUUGUCCUGCUACUGACUUACUGCACAGGAGUGAAUCUGGGUUCCUGAGAUAAAUUAUCUUUGUGCUAUUUCAGUUGACUCUGUAACUGUGUCAUUUCCCUUCAAGGAUUUUAUUUACUUUAGAGGUGUUUAUGUACUAGGCAUUUUUUUGACUUUCGUAUCCAUCAGAGAUCGGUUCUUACUGAGCUUACAAGAGCAGUUUUUCCUUUGACCUUAAGGAUGAAAGGUUACUAUUUCAGGUAGUAUUUCUGGUAUAGCUUCUUCCCCUAGGAAUUUUUGUAAAGGAAUGAGCUUACAGUAUGACUGCCAACAUUAAAUAUCCUACUCAGAGGAGUGCUUGAAAGUAAAGAACCCUUGGCAGCCGCUGCUGCUUAUGACUCUUUCUCUUUCUUCAAAGGACAAGGUAAUAAAAGUUUUGCCCAUUUGACUACCUGCA
rnacentral:lncRNA from 1 species